GUGGGGAAUUUUGGACAAUGGGCGAAAGCCUGAUCCAGCCAUGCCGCGUGCAGGAUGAAGGCCUUCGGGUUGUAAACUGCUUUUGUACGGAACGAAAAGACUCUGGUUAAUACCUGGGGUCCAUGACGGUACCGUAAGAAUGAGCACCGGCUAACUACGUGCCAGCAGCCGCGGUAAUACGUAGGGUGCAAGCGUUAAUCGGAAUUACUGGGCGUAAAGCGUGCGCAGGCGGUUAUAUAAGACAGAUGUGAAAUCCCCGGGCUCAACCUGGGAACUGCAUUUGUGACUGUAUAGCUAGAGUACGGCAGAGGGGGAUGGAAUUCCGCGUGUAGCAGUGAAAUGCGUAGAUAUGCGGAGGAACACCGAUGGCGAAGGCAAUCCCCUGGGCCUGUACUGACGCUCAUGCACGAAAGCGUGGGGAGCAAACAGGAUUAGAAACCCCGGUAGUCC
rnacentral:rRNA from 1 species